UAAGGAAUAUUGGUCAAUGGAGGAAACUCUGAACCAGCCAUGCCGCGUGGAGGAUGAAGGUCCUCUGGAUUGUAAACUUCUUUUAUAUGGGACGAAAAAAGGGUUUUCUAACCCGACUGACGGUACCAUAUGAAUAAGCACCGGCUAACUCCGUGCCAGCAGCCGCGGUAAUACGGAGGGUGCAAGCGUUAUCCGGAUUCACUGGGUUUAAAGGGAGCGUAGGUGGAUUAGUAAGUCAGUGGUGAAAUCUCCGGGCUUAACCCGGAAACUGCCAUUGAUACUAUUAGUCUUGAAUAUUGUGGAGGUUAGCGGAAUAUGUCAUGUAGCGGUGAAAUGCUUAGAUAUGACAUAGAACACCAAUUGCGAAGGCAGCUGGCUACACAUAUAUUGACACUGAGGCUCGAAAGCGUGGGGAUCAAACA
rnacentral:rRNA from 1 species